rnacentral:rRNA from 1 species
UACGAAGGGGGCUAGCGUUGUUCGGAAUUACUGGGCGUAAAGCGCGCGCAGGCGGUUUUUCAAGUCAGUGGUGAAAGCCCGGAGCUCAACUCCGGAAAUGCCAUUGAAACUGUUAAACUUGAGGACGAGAGAGGUGAGUGGAAUUCCCAGUGUAGAGGUGAAAUUCGUAGAUAUUGGGAAGAACACCGGUGGCGAAGGCGGCUCACUGGCUCGUUUCUGACGCUCAGGCGCGACAGCGUGGGGAUCAAACAGG